rnacentral:rRNA from 1 species
GUUGGUGGAGUGAUUUGUCUGGUUAAUUCCGUUAACGAACGAGACCUUAACCUGCUAACUAGUCACCUCCUGCGCAAGGAGGUUGACUUCUUAGAGGGACUAUGUGUUCAAGCACAUGGAAGUUUGAGGCAAUAACAGGU